CCCAUUUAAGCGAAAAUCACGCUUUUUCUCUUCGCAAAUCCCCCAUUUAACCUGAAAAUCACGCGUUUUCUCUUUGCAAAUACCCCAUUUAAGGAAAAAUCACGCUUUUUCUAUUUGAAAUCCCCCAUGUAUGCGAAAAUCACGCGUUUUCUCUUUGCAAAUACCGCAUUUAAGCAAAAAUCACGUGUUUUCUCUUCGAGAAUCCCCGAUUUAACCCGAAAACCACGUGUUUUCUCUUCAGAUAUCCCACAUUUAAGCGAAAAUCAUGAGUUUUAUCUACGAGACUCCCCCAUUUAAGCGAAAAUCACGUCUUUUCUCCUCGCAAAUCCCCAAUUUAACCCGAAAAUCACGCGUUUUCUCUUCGCAAAUCCCCCAUUUAACCCAAAAAUCACGCAUUUUCUCUUCGCAAAUCCCCCUUUUAACCGAAAAUCACGCGUUUUCUCUUCAAGAAUCCCCCAUGUAAGCGAAAACCACGCAUUUUCUCUCCAAGAAUCCCCCAUUUAACUGAAAAUCACGCCUUUUCUUUUCACAAAUCCCCCUUUUAAGUGAAAAUCACGCGUUUUCUCUUCGCAAAUCCCCCAUUUAAGCGACAAUCACGCGUUUUCUCUUCGCAAAUCCCCCAUUUAAGCGAAAAUCACGCCUUUUCUCUACGAGAAUCCCCCAUUUAACCUGCAAAUCACGCGUUUUCUCUUUGAGAAUCCCCCAUUUAACCCGAAAAUCACGCGUUUUCUCUUCGCAAAUCCCCCAUUUAACCCGAAAAUCACACGUUUUCUCUUUGAGAAUCCCCCAUUUAACCUGCAAAUCACGCGUUUUCUCUUUGAGAAUCCCCCAUUUAACCCGAAAAUCACGCGCUUUCUCUUCGCAAAUCCCCCAUUUAAGCGAAAAUCACGCGUUUUCUCUUCGAAAUCCCCCAUUUAACCCGAAAAUCACGCGUUUUCUCUUUGCAAAUCCCCCAUUUAACCCGAAAAUCACGUGUUUUCUCUUCGCAAAUCCCCCAUUUAAGCGAAAAUCACG
ensembl:lncRNA